rnacentral:rRNA from 1 species
GACGAACGCUGGCGGCGUGCUUAACACAUGCAAGUCGAACGGAAAGGCCCUGCUUUUGUGGGGUGCUCGAGUGGCGAACGGGUGAGUAACACGUGAGUAACCUGCCCUUGACUUUGGGAUAACUUCAGGAAACUGGGGCUAAUACCGGAUAGGAGCUCCUGCUGCAUGGUGGGGGUUGGAAAGUUUCGGCGGUUGGGGAUGGACUCGCGGCUUAUCAGCUUGUUGGUGGGGUAGUGGCUUACCAAGGCUUUGACGGGUAGCCGGCCUGGGAGGGUGACCGGCCACAUUUGGACUGAGAUACGGCCCAGACUCAUACGGGAGGCAGCAGUGGAGAAUAUUGCACAAUGAGCGGAAGCCUGAUACAGCAACGCCGCGGGCGGGAUGAAGACCUUCGGGUUGUAGAACGCUUACGCGUGUGACGAAGCGUGCGUGACGGUAAUGGGUAAAGAAGCACCGGCUAACUACGUG